rnacentral:rRNA from 1 species
CGGACGGGUGAGUAAUGCCUAGGAAUCUGCCUGGUAGUGGGGGACAACGUUUCGAAAGGAACGCUAAUACCGCAUACGUCCUACGGGAGAAAGCAGGGGACCUUCGGGCCUUGCGCUAUCAGAUGAGCCUAGGUCGGAUUAGCUAGUUGGUGAGGUAAUGGCUCACCAAGGCGACGAUCCGUAACUGGUCUGAGAGGAUGAUCAGUCACACUGGAACUGAGACACGGUCCAGACUCCUACGGGAGGCAGCAGGU